rnacentral:rRNA from 1 species
AACGAACGCUGGCGGCAGGCUUAACACAUGCAAGUCGAGCGCCCCGCAAGGGGAGCGGCAGACGGGGGAGUAACGCGUGGGAAUCUACCCAUCCCUACGGAAUAACGCAUGGAAACGUGUGCUAAUACCGUACACGUCCUUCGGGAGAAAGAUUUAUCGGAGAUGGAUGAGCCCGCGUUGGAUUAGCUAGUUGGUGGGGUAAAGGCCUACCAAGGCGACGAUCCAUAGCUGGUCUGAGAGGAUGAUCAGUCACACUGGGACUGAGACACGGCCCAGACUCCUACGGGAGGCAGCAGUGGGGAAUAUUGGACAAUGGGCGCAAGCCUGAUCCAGCCAUGCCGCGUGAGUGAUGAAGGCCCUAGGGUUGUAAAGCUCUUUCACCGGUGAAGAUAAUGACGGUAACCGGAGAAGAAGCCCCGGCUAACUUCGUGCCAGCCGCCGCCGUAAAAC